AACGCUGGCGGCUGCUUACACAUGCAAGUCGAACGGGCUCUUCGGAGCUAGUGGCGGACGGGUGAGUAACGCGUGAGGAUCUGCCUUCAGGAGGGGGAUAACGACUGGAAACGGUCGCUAAUACCGCAUAUGCCUACGGGUGAAAGAUUUAUCGCCUGGAGAUGAACUCGCGUCAGAUUAGCUAGUUGGUGGGGUAAGAGCCUACCAAGGCGACGAUCUGUAGCUGGUCUGAGAGGAUGAUCAGCCACACUGGGACUGAGACACGGCCCAGACUCCUACGGGAGGCAGCAGUGGGGAAUUUUCCGCAAUGGGCGCAAGCCUGACGGAGCAAGACCGCGUGCGGGAUGACGGCCUAAUGGUUGUAAACCGCUUUUCUCUGGGAAGAUGAUGACGGUACCAGAGGAAUCAGCCUCGGCUAACUCCGUGCCAGCAGCCGCGGUAAUACGGAGGAGGCAAGCGUUAUCCGGAAUUAUUGGGCGUACAGCGUCCGUAGGUGGUUAUUCAAGUCUGCUGUCAAAGCGUGGGGCUUAACUCCAUAGAGGCAGUGGAAACUGGAUGACUUGAGUGCGGUAGGGGUCGACGGAAUUCCCAGUGUAGCGGUGAACUGCGUAGAUAUUGGGAAGAACACAAGUGGCGAAAGCGCUCGACUGGGCCUGCACUGACACUGAG
rnacentral:rRNA from 1 species